rnacentral:lncRNA from 1 species
AAGAUACCUUUAGAGAGUUACUUCAAACGAUCCAAAAUAGAAAAAUCUUUUAAGUUAAGAGAUUCUAAGUAAACGGUUUUUAUUAACGUUUUAGGAAGGUGUUAGGCACCUAAAACGUCCACUAACUUGCGGUUAUCCGGACUGUUUGAAAAUUGUCUUUGAUUAACUUCUAAAAGAUUAAUUUGUUGAAAAGUGAUUGGUUUUUAGAAAGGAUUUGUGUAAAACAAUUUUAGGUGACUUAAUAGGGAUUUUAACUAAGUCUACAAAAAUGAAAUAAACAAGUCAACACAUAAACGGGGAAAGGGAGGAGAAAGUAAAUGAUUUAGGCCAUUGGGCGCAAACCAACAAAACUUGUCCUAAUCUAAUUGGGCCUUUGACCCGUUUCACCUGUCCUAAUCUAGUUUUCGAGCCCUUGGAUCGAGUCUCGCUCCACCUGCAUUAAGUACAACUUUGGCUUCGAGGCUGAAAUAAAUAAUUAAAGAAAUACAUAAAUAAAUACGAAAACCAUAAAUAAAUAACGACGACAAAUGAAUAAAUAGAAAUCGGACUCGGGUCUAGUCAUUGCUUACAGAAUGAAACUUUAACCCAUUUUCCUUCUCUCAACUCCUUGUGUCCAUAUCCUAUGUGAUCGACUUUCAAAUUCUUCUAGAAAGUGGGCCUCAAUGACCCAUUGCAUAAUGCAAGGAAAAGGAGUCUGAUUGGACUCCCG